UCACUGGCGGACUAGUGGUUAGACAAUGGUGCUCUCACUGCCACGGCCCAGGUUCGAUUCCCGGCCAGGGAA